AAGUUAUAAACCGGAGAUUGAUGGCCAUUACUAACGUUAAACAACUCUUUUAUUAUACAGAGGAGAACAGAAGUUCCUUCCGGUCUGUUGUUUCCGGAUGGAACGAGGAACCCCAUGACUUCUGCCCUUCCUUCAGGGCUCUGCGGGAUGGAAGGAACGGGGCCCAUAAAUGGCUUUGAUUUCCUAGUGAGAGCUGGUUCCUGUGUAAACAUUGGAGGCAGAUGUUUGUAAUGAGAGUGUAUGACAAGGUCUGACGUGGCUCCUCAGUGAACAAGGGUUGCUCAGAAUCAUGGGACUUUUCAAAUAACCCACUUAAAGGCCACAGAAAAACACAGACAGGGAGGGUAUCUCCAGGAAGGAGUGGGUUGGAACCAGCAGCUGUGAAGGGAUCUGGGUUCCCAGGAGUUACCCAUUCCAUCAGGUACUGUGUCAUGGGCCAUAGACCGUGGACCCCACAAAGCUCGAGGAAGUAGAGAAAACCUUGAAUUAGAGCUGGGGCAAGCUCCAUGAAGGACCCUGGGUUCUUUAACAUGGCCUCCUCAGGCCUUCACCAAGGGCAGACUGCACCAGAGCUGCUCAGGGGAGGGCUGUUGUCACCAGCAAAAGCAGCAGGGACUGCUGGGAAUGGACACCAAACACCGCCUCUGAGGAGGUCACCAGGAGCCAGCUGUGAAGGAAACCAGGCUUGGCAGAGGGUUGCUUAACCAAACCCAGCCAGCUGUGCCCUGGCCCUGUGUUACCUGGUUAGAGUCAGCCGAUGGAACAUGUCCCUCCCUAAACCUAGGGGCCCCACUUUAGAAUUCAAUUCCUUGGGGUUAUUUUCCCCUUGAGUCUGGACAUCUCAUCCUGAAUGGUAAAUAAAUUUUCUUUUCCCCUACUAAGACUUCUUCUUCUUUUUUUUUUUUUGGUACCAGGGAUCAAACUCGGGAUCUUGCACUUUCUAGGCAGGUGGUGGAACCACUGAGCUAAAUCCCCGGCCCCUUAAUAGGGCUUCUAGUUGAGAACCACACCCUUCCACAGGAGAAGCAGAAGUAAAAUAUGAGGAAAAAAGGAUGCGUGCACACAACUCUUUAAUUCUCUCCAAGACCCGUGAAAGGGGACUGGCUCCCAGAAAAGUCCAGAAGGCAGAGAAAGGGACAAGAGGCAUCACAGCAUCACAGCCACCAAACACCAGCAGGUAGCUGUGCUAGUUUGAGCUAUGGAUGGCGCCAGAGUGUAGGAAUUUCUCUGGCACCCGAAGGCAGAUUCACCUUUGGCCUGGUUACAGGCACAGUUAGGCAACAGUUUGGGAGCUGUGGUUGUCACGCCUGGGCCUAGCGUGGGAAUACAGGGUCUCACGCUAGAGCUGCUGGUGCUUCUGGGACUAGGGCCUCAGACUGUGCUGGCGUGACCGCCAUCGAAGAUAGGACUGAGGGCGUUUGUGCUGGGAAGGCUGCCUGCAUCCUGAAAUGUCUCUGGCCUGUGGUCACCAGGCCUGACAUUCCUUUAACCUGGAACAAAGGCUUGUGUUGCAGAAAGAAAGAGUAAGCUUAAAAUGGCAGGAAAAAAGAAAUUCAAAUCAGAGAGAAAGAGAAACGUUGUGUGUCCGUGUGUGUGUGUCUGUCCAGGAUGGUGUGAUUUUGCUGAAGGCCAUCCCAAUAAGAAAAUCUGGGGUUUUUUCCCCUCACAGUGGCAGCAGAAUCAUUUCAGAAUGGGUGUAGGGUCUCCCAGAAUUAGGAAGCAGAGGAAAACAAGCCCUUAAUGAAGGUGAGGGAUGGGAGGGGGAAUCCAUUCUCUCAGAGCCUGGACUGUCGCUCGGAAGUGCGCUACUGCCCUCUGCUGGCCGCGGCGGGCAUGGCCGCCUGAACACGAGAAGGACUUCAAGGCCUCUCCCCUCGUCUGAGAGAAACUGAAGGAUGGAUUCCUGUGUGAAGUGGGAGACAAAUCAAAGGCGAAUCAUCUUCCACCACGCUCGGCCCCGCCCCAGGAAUACACGUUGGUCUCUUUUGGACUCGAAAAUAAACAGGUACACCUAGCUCCCCCAGCUGGUGCUUAGCAAGUGGGCCCGCACUGGCUUGAAAGUCCGAAGAACAAUGGCUUCGAGCAGACUGGGGCACAGGGCCUCCUGCACCUCUUCCGGCGCGGGCGGCGAGCUGGCUCGGGCUGGAGCCACGGGAGAUCUGCCGCGUGCUCGCUGUCUCCGGCCUACAACGCCUUAGCCGUUGAGAGAUUUCCCAAUCGGCCCCUAAAAUCGGAGUGGACACCCUUCUACUAUUUCUCUCUAGUUUUUUACAGCGUCUUACUGGGAGUCGACGACCCGCCGCCUUUGAAAACCUCCCCAAAGAAGCGUGGGUUCCUGUUCAUCAAGUGCCUGGGGCCUGAGGGUCUCAGCAGCUCCUCCUGCAUGAGAGGUGGAAGUACCACCAAAAUCCUGCUGGAAACCCUGUUACUGGCAGCCCAUAAGACGGUGGAGCAGGGCAUUGCAGCAUCUCCAAGAUGCCUUCUGGAAAUCCUGCGGACAUUUGAGCGGGCUCAUAAGGUGACCUACAGUCAAAGCUCCAAGAUCACCCUGAUGAAGCAAGUCAGCACCAGAUUUCCGAGACAUCUGUGGCUUUCUCAUUGGGGAUCACAGUGACAUGUUUAACCAGAAGGAUGAGCUCACCAAUCAGGGUCCACAGUUCACCUUCUCCCAGGAAAACUUCCUGACUUCCAUCCUGCCCUCCCUCAUGGAAACUGACACUGUUAUCUUCAUUUUCACCCUGGAUGAUAACCUUGUGGAAGUGCAGACACUGGUGGAGCAGGUGAAAGAGAAGGCCAGCAAUAUCCAGGCCCUGGCGCACAGCACUGUGGGGCAGUCCCUGCCGGUGAGGGUCCAGCCUUGAAAGGGGCCUGGGUGGCAGUCACAGGCUGGCCUGCCUGCACAUGUCGCUCUGGGUCCUGUUUCUCUUCGGGCCCCUCUGAAGAAGCUCUUUCCCUCCAUCAUCACUGCUUUUCUUCG